GAUGAACGCUGGCGGCGUGCUUAACACAUGCAAGUCGAACGGUGAACGAGGGAGCUUGCUCCCUCCGGAUCAGUGGCGAACGGGUGAGUAACACGUGAGCAAUCUGCCCUGGACUCUGGGAUAAGCGUUGGAAACGACGUCUAAUACCGGAUACGAGGCGUGGGGGCAUCCCCAACGCCUGGAAAGAACUUCGGUCCAGGAUGAGCUCGCGGCCUAUCAGCUUGUUGGUGAGGUAACGGCUCACCAAGGCGACGACGGGUAGCCGGCCUGAGAGGGUGACCGGCCACACUGGGACUGAGACACGGCCCAGACUCCUACGGGAGGCAGCAGUGGGGAAUAUUGCACAAUGGGCGCAAGCCUGAUGCAGCAACGCCGCGUGAGGGACGACGGCCUUCGGGUUGUAAACCUCUUUUAGCAGGGAAGAAGCGAAAGUGACGGUACCUGCAGAAAAAGCACCGGCUAACUACGUGCCAGCCGCCGCCGUAAUAC
rnacentral:rRNA from 1 species